rnacentral:rRNA from 1 species
UGCCAGCAGCCGCGGUAAUACGAAGGGUGCUAGCGUUGUUCGGAAUUACUGGGCGUAAGGAGCAUGUAGGCGGAUGAAUUAGUCAGAGGUGAAAGCCCCGAGCUCAACUUGGGAACUGCCUUUGAUACUGUUUAUCUAGAGUCCGAGAGAGGUUAGUGGAAUUCCCAGUGUAGAGGUGAAAUUCGUAGAUAUUCGGAAGAACACCAGUGGCGAAGGCGACUCACUGGCUCGGUACUGACGCUGAGAUGCGAAAGCGUGGGGAGCAAACAGGAUUAGAUA